AGUUCAGAUUGCAGGCUGCAACUCGCCUGCAUGAAGUUGGAAUUGCUAGUAAUCGCGAAUCAGCCAUGGCGCGGUGAAUACGUUCCCGGGCCUUGUACACACCGCCCGUCAAGCCAUGGAAGCCGGGGGCGCUUGAAGUGCGUUGCCGCAAGGCGCGCCCUAGAGCGAAACCGGUGACUGGGGCUAAGUCGUAACAAGGUAUC
rnacentral:rRNA from 1 species